rnacentral:lncRNA from 1 species
AUGAAUAUCUUUUCAUGCUUCUGGGCAAAUCCCAUGUCCCCAGGAGACCUCCAGCAGCUGGGAUGGGUCCAGACCCACGCAUGGGGAGCAGGAGGGUCAUGCAGCAGAACAGGAGGGGCACAGAGGGGUUUCAUCCCUGCACUGCCUGGAGAUGAGCCCUGGGACAUCUCCCAGCAUCAGGAGGUGACAUGUGAAGGAGAGCAGCCUGAAUACCGAGGACCUUCCCCUUCAGCACUGCAUAGCAGGUGUCCACCUCCAAGCAGUACUUUCAAGUCAGAAGCUACAUCUCUGCCUGCUUCUUCCCCAUUGCUAUUGGUUAUAAAUCAGAAUUCCUGGAAUCUCUGCUACGGAUUUGUGACCAUCCCCCCCCAGGGGUUUGAGCAGGAGUGCUCAGAGUUUACCAUCAUUGGACCACUAGUCCAUUCUCUCCAAUCACCAAAACAUUUUACUCUCCAGAGUGAAGUCAAGCUAAAAUCCUUAAAUUGCAGGCUGCUGCAUGGUCCCUGUUGGAGCUGCUGACCUGGAGGCUCAGUGGAUAAGGGUACAGCUCUAUGCUUGAGGAAGGAUGCCCCAAGCUGAGGUUGAGCUCUGAGCACCACAUCCCUGCUGCCUAUGGAGUGAACAAUCUGCAUGCCAAGCAGCAGGGCAACAGCACUUCUCCAUUUCCAAAGCACAGUGCUGUGGUCCUUUCAGGCUGUCACUUUCCUGCUGCACUACCUGGGGCUGGGGGGGGGGAUUUCUUUACAAAAGAAGAGCAUGCACAGCAGGAGCAACCUGCUGCGAGCAUUUGGCCAGCCAGCAAGGUGCUGCCAAUCUGCUUGAGUUGUCAGCAGAUUGAAUGAAGCGGCUCCACUCCCGCUUUGAGCUGCGUGAGUCUCUCUUACAGGAAGCAGAUUUCCUUGCAAUUUCCUCGCAGUUUCCUCCUCUGCUGCUUUCUAAUGGGAUUUGAGGUGCUGUUUGCUCACUCUCCCUUUCCGUGCCAGCAUCCCCCCGCACGCAGCCCAUGCAGGGCAGAGCCGUUUGCUCUCUUGCAAAGGCACAUCGGUGCGGUUGUGUUUCCUUUUCUGGCAGAGAAAGCGAGCAGCGAGCUGAUGCCGAGAGCACAGCCACUGUAUUGCACAACGCCAGGGCAACGCCAGCUCCAACCGUCAGGGGCUGCGUGGUGGCAGCGGCGGCAGAGGAGGGUGUGCAGUUGGUGCCUUUGUGGCCCCCGGGGUCUUUUUAUACUUUUAGAGAAGUUGGGCUCAUCCUAAGUUCCUCUCCCACAGAUUGUUCCUGUUGUUGUCGCUGCUCCGACCCCGCAGAUCAUGUGGCUUGGCAUGACCUGGCGCCUCACUGCACUCCUGCUAGUCCUGAGCUGUGGGGACAGUGGGGACAGCAACUCCUAUGCACCUACAGCUUUCCACCUCUCAGUCCAUUUUCCUCUCAGCCCAUCCCCUCAGGGAGCUCCUUUGGCUUCUGACAUGCAGAGAGCUCUCUGUUCCCCUGGGCAAUGCCAUGCACGUUUGCAGCCCCAACG